rnacentral:tmRNA from 1 species
CGACGGAAGAUAUGAGGUCUGAGUUGCAUGUCGUGGCUCUGCACCCACGUUAAAAUGCAGAAACAAACACAAACGCCAACAACGAACUGGCACUCGCAGCUUAAUUAAGCAGCGCGCUCCCCGGGGAAAACCUGCUACUCCGAAGGGGCGUCAACCAGCAGGUUGGCCUGAAGGGACUGACCUUGAUCUUCAGGCGAGACUAAGAGGGAUAAGAGACGGAAAAGUCCUCUUGCCGGCGUUUCCGUUUCUGACAAUCAACAGGCAAGGUAAGCAUGUAGACGCUUAGAAGUAGUACUUCCGGACCCGGGUUCGAUUCCCGGCGCCUCCACCA